UGAAUACUACGGACGUGGUGCCUUACCCAUCUACUGGAACUUCAACUACGGAGCAGCUGGGGAAGCCCUGAAAGCUGAUCUCUUGAACCACCCUGAGUACAUUGAGCAGAACGCGACACUUGCCUUCCAAGCUGCAAUCUGGAGAUGGAUGACACCGAUCAAGAAAAACCAGCCCUCGGCUCACGACAUCCUCGUCGGAAACUGGAAACCAACAAA